GAUGAUUUACGUUCUGAGACGUAUCAAGGUAUUACUGAUGCUGUCGGACAGGGUGGAUCAACUGGUGAGAAUUUGGGGAUUCAGUUUAUAUUACAUUCGAGUUUUACGGGUGGCCCUCGGUACAUGGUGCUUAAUUACCAUGAUGGUAUGGCUAUUUGUCGCGAAUAUGGUGCUCCCGAUCUUUUUGUCACUUUUACAUGCAAUCCAAAGUGGCAAGAAGUUGUUGAUGCUCUCGCAUAUGAAGGUGGUCAGACUCACGUUGAUCGUCCUGACAUUGUUACGCGUGUUUUCAAUAUAAAAUUUGAAGAAUUUUUAGAAGAUGUAAAGGAUGGAUCAGCAUUUGGAGCUAUUCAAGCUUAUUUGUAUGUGGUGGAAUUUCAAAAGAGAGGGCUUCCUCAUACUCAUACUCUUAUCUGGCUUAAAGAGAGUACGAAGGAUCCUUCGCCUGCUUUUAUAGAUAAUCUGGUGUGUGCUGAGUUACCAGAUCCAAUGGUUGACCCUUUGGAAUAUACACUUGUGGAUGAAUUCAUGGUUCACGGCCCAUGUGGUAUGUUGGAUGACAAGUGCCCUUGUAUGAAAGAUGGCACUUGCUCAAAGCGAUUUCCAAAGUCUUUUAACAGUGAGACAAUGGUGGAUGAGAUG
rnacentral:rRNA from 1 species